rnacentral:rRNA from 1 species
UACGUAGGGACCAAGCGUUGUUCGGAUUUACUGGGCGUAAAGGGCGCGUAGGCGGCGCGGUAAGUCACUUGUGAAAUCUCUGAGCUUAACUCAGAACGGCCAAGUGAUACUGCAGUGCUAGAGUGCAGAAAGGGCAAUCGGAAUUCUUGGUGUAGCGGUGAAAUGCGUAGAUAUCAAGAGGAACACCUGAGGCGAAGGCGGGUCUCUGGGCCGAAAUUGACGCUGAGGAGCGAAAGCGUGGGGAGCAAACAGG